rfam:Schistosoma haematobium scaffold803_25, whole genome shotgun sequence.
AUCCAGCUGACGAGUCGCGAAUAGGACAAAACUUGUGUCCUGAAU